rnacentral:rRNA from 1 species
AGAGACAGCAGUAGCCGCGGUAAUACAGAGGGUGCGAGCGUUAAUCGGAUUUACUGGGCGUAAAGCGUGCGUAGGCGGUGUUGUAAGACUGAUGUGAAAUCCCCGGGCUCAACCCGGGAACUGCAUUGGUGACUGCAACGCUGGAGUGCGGCAGAGGGGGAUGGAAUUCCGCGUGUAGCAGUGAAAUGCGUAGAUAUGCGGAGGAACACCGAUGGCGAAGUCAAUCCCCUGGGCCUGCACUGACGCUCAUGCACGAAAGCGUGGGGAGCAAACAGGAUUAGAGACCCGCGUAGUCCCUGUCUCUUAUAC